GUUUAUGGUGGCUGUGCGCAGGGCGCCUUUGGGUGCGCCGGAGUUUCCGAUUUUGGCCGGUCGACUAACCUGCGUACAGCCGCCACCUUC
rnacentral:antisense_RNA from 7 species